UAGGGAAUCUUCCACAAUGGACGCAAGCCUGAUGGAGCAACACCGCGUGAGUGAAGAAGGGUUUCGGCUCGUAAAGCUCUGUUGUUAAAGAAGAACACGUAUGAGAGUAACUGUUCAUACGUUGACGGUAUUUAACCAGAAAGUCACGGCUAACUACGCGCCAG
rnacentral:rRNA from 1 species